rnacentral:lncRNA from 1 species
AUUAUCAAAUAUUACAUACUAAUGAUACCUCAAGAGAAUACACUGCACUUCUAAACUUUUGUGCUUUCAAAACAUAUAGAUAUCUUCAUAAAAUGGAAAAAACUCACACUUCAGUUGGAUGCAGUUUUUCAAUCUUCUACAUCCAAGACGAUGGCACUCUUUUGUAUGAUAUAUCCCCAGUUGUGGCAUUGAUAAGACAGUCUAUAAAAUACAUCCAAUUCCCAGUGCACAAGCCACAGUUGUACCUGUUUCCAUUGCAAGGAAAGCAUAUUGCAAGGUAAGUUAAUUAUAUGAUUACAGGGCUUUCUUUGAAAUUCUGCAGUUUACAAGUUCGUUAAUCAUUCUCUCAACAAAAACUGUGUAAGUAGUAUUCAUCAAAAUCUAUAGUAGUUUAUUCUGAGUAACAAAUUAUGCAUUAC